GACGAACGCUGGCGGCGUGCUUAACACAUGCAAGUCGAACGGAAAGGCCCUGCUUUUGUGGGGUGCUCGAGUGGCGAACGGGUGGGUAACACGUGAGUAACCUGCCCUUGACUUUGGGAUAACUUCAGGAAACUGGGGCUAAUACCGGAUAGGAGCUCCUGCUACAUGGUGGGGGUUGGAAAGUUUCGGCGGUUGGGGAUGGACUCGCGGCUUAUCAGCUUGUUGGUGGGGUAGUGGCUUACCAAGGCUUUGACGGGUAGCCGGCCUGAGAGGGUGACCGGCCACAUUGGGACUGAGAUACGGCCCAGACUCCUACGGGAGGCAGCAGUGGGGAAUAUUGCACAAUGGGCGGAAGCCUGAUGCAGCAACGCCGCGUGCGGGAUGACGGCCUUCGGGUUGUAAACCGCUUUCGCCUGUGACGAAGCGUGAGUGACGGUAAUGGGUAAAGAAGCACCGGCUAACUACGUG
rnacentral:rRNA from 1 species